rnacentral:lncRNA from 1 species
UGUUUCAAGAAGCUCGAGGAGGGCCUGCGGCCGGCACUGCCUCGAUCAGAACUCCACAAACUGAUCAGCCCCUUGCAAUGUCUAAAUCACGUGUGGAAACUCCACCACCCCCAGGAUCUAGGCCCCCUGCCCCAGCCCGCUCACCCCUUCCCCUACAGCAGACUGCCCCAUCCCUUCCCGUUCCACCCUCUCCAGCCCUGGAAACCUCACCCCUUAGAGUCCUUCUUCCUAGACAAACUGGCCUGUAUAGACAGCCAGCAGCCCCUGUCCGGCCCCCACCUGGGCAAACUGGCCUGUGUGGACGGUCAGAAGCCUGUGCCCGGCCCACACCUGGAGCCCGGGUGCCCAUCCCGGGGCCCGUAUGACAAGUUUUCUGUGGAGGAGUACAUGGUACACGCCCUGCAAGGCAGUGUGAGCUCAGGCCAGGCCCACAGCCUGGCCAGCCUGGCCAAGACCUGGUCGGCAGGAGGUUUCAAGCCCCAGAAGCCCAGCCCUGAAACGAUGGACAGCGAGGGGGUCCUGCUUACAGAGGUAAGCCAUCCCCCAAACACAGGUACAUGUACCACCGGCUCUGGGGCCCAGAGCAGCAGCCGGCCGUCAGGCGGGACCUGUUCUGGGGGGGGGAGGGGGGGGGGCGAAGCAUCACUGGAAACCUGCCAGACCCUUUUUACUUCCCACCUUUGCGGGGAGUCGGGGCGGGGGGGAGUGGGGCGGGGCAUAGUCUUCACUCUGUAUCGAAGUAUCUGUAUCGUCAUCAGAUAGUCGGAAAGUGCUCAUCCCUGUCAAGAGGCGGUAUCCCCUGCUCCACCUCCAGAUCAUUCUUCAGGCUUUUUAGAUAUUUCUGCUUUGAGUUCUUCUGAAGUUAUUGCCGAACUUAUUAAGUUAUUGCUGAAGAGUGUGUGUGUGUGUGUGUGUGUGUGUGUGUUGAAUGAUACACAUACUGAGAAAGAGGAAUAAGCAAGCAUCAACUGCACAUGUUCCCUCCUGACCCCUGCUAUGAAAGGCGAGGAUUUUGACCAUCUGCAUAUCCCCCUGGCCUUCCUCUUUCCCUCCAGUGCUCUGCUGGAGAGCUUUAUAACUCUAAGAUGAUUUUACCAGACUUCAAUUUCUGGGGUUUAUUCCAUCCAUCUUUGACAUGAUCCCUUGUCCCCCACCCCUCUUCAUGGUCCCUUCCCUUUCUUCUACCUUAUAGCUUCGGAGCUAUACUUUUGGUCAUGGUUGUUGAUAGUUCCAUUUUUUUAAAGUUUGAUUUAUUUAUUUUGAGAGAGGGGUUGGGGGCCGGGGGUGGGGCAGAGAGAGAGGAGAGAGAAUCCCAUGCAGGCUUCGCCCUAUCAGUGCAGAGCCCCGUGCGGGGCUCAAACCCAUGACCUGAGCCAAAGUCAAGAGUCAGACGCUUAACCGGCUGAGCCUCCCAGGCGCCCCGACAAUUCCAUUUGUGUCCCACAACCGCAAGUCUGGGGAGAAGGAUCUUUCGCCACAAGGGUCGGCUUAGCUUGGGCAGCCGGCGAGGCUGUCCACUGCCUUCACUUUUUUCCUGUAACUCCCUCUGGUCCUGCCCCUGCAGAGCCCUGCCUCAGACCCGGGGGUGUCUUUGGUGGUGAGGGCUCUGCCCCAGCAGCCUGGCAAGGACGACCAGCCAGAGAGCCUUCCUCACUGUAACCCUUCGUCCCGCCCGCUGCCCUGGUCACUGAAACUGGCUUCUGUCUCCUGCCAACCCCAGAAACUCAAGCCGGUGGAUUAUGAGUACCGAGAGGAGGUCCACUGGGCCACGCGCCAGCCCUGCCUGGGCAGAGGCUCCUUCGGAGAGGUGCACAGGAUGCAGGACAAGCAGACUGGCUUCCAGUGUGCGGUCAAAAAGGUAGGCCCGAAAGAAAAAGGUGCGCCUGGGCUCCGGGGGCUGCAGAGGGAAGCCAGGCAGGUGGCCUGUUGUGUUCCUUCUGCUUUCUUUCAAGGGCAAUCACAGGGCAGCCAUGGCUCUGGCUUGUUAACAGAGCCUGGCUGUCGCUGGGCACCCUGGGGUCAGCUGGAGCCGGAAGGGAGCAGUCUCGGUCACAUGUCCCGGCCUGGGAGCUGCACUUGGUGUGCAUGUGUCAGAUGGAGUAUGCAAGUGUGCACGCGUCCUGGGCCACUCCUGAUGCCGGGGCCCUUAGGGGCAAGUCCAAACCUGGAAGGUGUUGGCUCGUCGUGCAAUUCGUGUUGAGCUGAAACCCCUAAACCACAUAGUGGGGCUGCUCACGCCUGGGCCAGAAGGUAAAAACCACCACAACAAUAACCUGCCCCUAACGGGUGCCUCUUGGACGAGGCCAUGCGCUUGGGACGUCAGAUCUGAUUUCGGUUUGGGCUCUGCCUCCUGCUGGCGGGAAUAAUAGGUCCUGGGAGGUGGACCUUAUGAGGAAAUGAGACUUAGCAAGAGACCCAGGCUUGGCUAGCUCCAGAGUCUGGCUACGAUCCACUCUGUAGGAAGUGGGCAGGGGAAGAGACUCAUGGUCCUGGGAAUCGACGGGAGCAGGGGCGUGAAUCGCCUCCCCUGCUCCCUCGUUUCACCAGGGUAGAACCGGGGACCGGAGAAGGUAGCGUGCCUUGUCUAGAACCGUAGAGCUGGGCCUGGAACUGAGGCCUCCUUGUGCCGCAGCAGAACACAGACCUUGGUGCUGGCUCUUGCUCCCCUUCAGGUGUCUUUUCUCCUACCCCCACCCUCAGUUCACCUUGACUGGAAGCCACCUUGUCCUCGGCCCAAACUCAGCCUCAGAGCUAGUGCCCAGGACCGCAAGAGGCUGAAAUGAGAAACGUUUCGAGGGGCCGUUUUCUUGGCCCGUGACAAAAGGAAAUAAGCUAGCUCCCCGGUAGACCUUGUUUUCAAGCAGGUCUUGUCAGGGACCCUCUGCUCCCCCCAAAGGGAAGAGGACCAAAGGCACGCUCAGCCCCGUGGCUGCUUGUGGCUUUCAGCGGUGAGGACGCAAAUUGUGAUGUGAAUACCCUGAAUACCCUGGCUUCCUUGGCUUGUAGGUGGGCCGGGAUGUUACAGUUGGAGAGCUUGGGCCCCCGGGUGAUGGGCUGAGAGGGGGACUAUCCGUAGGUAUUACCCCAAACUUCAGACACACUGUGUCAACGGAGCGGGCCCCACCCCCGCCUCCCCCCGCCGGCCCAGGCACGUGCUGAGUGCCCGCCAGCGUGGGCCGGCAUUUCCCACUGGGUGCCAAGGCCAUGUGCCCUCCCCGGGCCAUCGGAGAAGGCUCAGCUGUCCCUCCUGAAGGCUGGGUGGGAGGAGAGCGAGAGUAUGAAGUGUCCUGGAGUCCAGUGCCCAGCGCUAGGGGAGCUUAGUCACUGGGCUUCUCAGCUGUCACCCUGCUGAGGUUCUCCGGGGUCCCAGGCAACAAGGAAAACAACCCUGAUAUAGUAGAAGACAGAUACUCCAUUUCUCACCUCCCCAAGGCAGGCGGAAAAGUUCCAAGCACAACGAGUAGGCUCCCCAGGGCCAGAACUGGCCGCUUCCAGAAUCUGCCUCCCCGACCCAAGAGCUCAGUGGGGUGGCUUUGGGGCCGCCCACACAGCUGCCAUCGGGUGGGCAGACAGCCCCUCCUUUUUCUCCUUUUUCUGGGGUGGGGGGGCAGGAUGUAGAGCAGGCACUGGGGGAGGGGGCAGGGAUCAGAGGUCAGAGCGGGUCUGUGCACUCUCCAGUGUUCCCUGAGGAAGAUCCAGCAUGUGGAACAACAGCACUUCCUUGGUCCUCCUUCUAGAACAUCCAUGGCCUCGGGUCAGAUGCUGACUGGUCACAAGUCCAGGGUUUAACGCACGGGGGUCUGUUCACUUUGUUAAGGCCUUGUUUGAUCUUUUAAUGGCAAAUAAACACAGGCUCAUUAUAGAAGAUUUCAAAGGAUACCCCAAAACACAAAAGUCCUUGUUGCCCAAUCCCGUUCGCAGAGGCAGCUGCCCUUUGACAUCUUUUUAGACUUUUUAUGCAUACAUAAACAUGUAGUUGCUUUUAUUAAAACGAGACUACUCUAGAGGCUGUCCUGUGCCAUAUGUUCCAUGUGAUCGCAUAUCGUGGACACAGUUCCUUAUUGGUACAUCCAUGUCUCUCUAGUGCUUUUUAUCAGCCGACGUGGAAGUUUGUAUCCUCGCCAGUGGAUGAAUUUAUAGAACGUGUGAACUCCUGGAACUUUGUUCAAUGGUGUAUCUGUGUGUGGCACACACAUUUUGGAUGGGGAAGCAUCCGUUAUCAUGUAUCAGGUGUUAAAGACGUCUGUGGCCCAAAGAGGGUUAAGAACCAUUCAUUUAAGAACAUCUGGCUCCUGCAUGGAGUUCUGGGAGCCUCCUUUUGACUCUGCCUCCGAUCGGGUUAGUGUGGCCUUGGCCCAACCCAGCCGUUACCAAGCACCUGGUCUGUGCCAGAUACGGCGCCAGGGGCUAGAGGCAAAGCUGCGGAAUCCACACCCCCGGAAAGGCUUGGCGACGUUGUAAUGGGGGAUGGACAUUUACAUGGCAUAAAGGUGGUAGAAAGCAGCCGUCAGCAAGGUACACCAGUGAGGGCAGCCUGGACGAGCGCUGAGAAGGGGAUCUAGGACUGAGGGGAGAGUAUCUCCAUGGCGACGAGGAAAUGGGGGGACCCCUCUGUUUAUUUGACUACUGUGCGCCCAGUACUGUGAGUUACUUUUCACGUAUCUUACGUUCCCGGGAUCUUUAAAAGAAUUUACAGAAUUGCUAUUUUCCGCGUUUUUACUGAUGAAAUAAAAUGGAUACAGAUACUGACCAAGAGGGAGAGUUUUAAGAAAGAAAAGUCAAUCCCCAGUGUCAGCAUGCAGGCAGUUAAGCGGGGGAAGUGGCUUGUGGACUUGGCAGUCAGGGGAUUGCUGACUGCGCUCCCACCUACACGCUCCCAAAUGUACGUGAGAACGUCCUGGAUGUAAGAGCUGAUACUCCUGGGAAGGCCUUCGGUGAGGCGGGGCAGCUGGCAUCCCAGAGUCAGGCUUCCCCAACCAAAACCCCACCUCUGAGACUUCCUACCAGUGACCUUGGGCAAGUUAUUUGUCCAGACUCUAGCUUCCUCAUCUGUAAAUUGGAGAUAAUGAGAAUACCACCCCAUAGGCUAUUGUAAGAUGUAAAUAACGAAUGCUCAUAAAGUGCUUAGAAUGGUGCCUCGCAUGUGUUCAGUGGGCAGUGAAUAUUAGUUUUCGUGAACACCCUCACCAUAGUCCAGCCCCUUGCUUUAACAGAUGAGGACCCUGAGGUCCAGGGAGGAGAGGUGGGCCAGCUGGGCGGCCGUGUGCUUUCUCUCCAGCUGCGCCGCUUGGGACUGCCCUUUCUGCUUGCUCUCCCUGGGGCUGGCACAGACUUCUAAAUCACCUUGGGGGCGCCUGGGUGGCGCAGUCGGUUAAGCGUCCGACUUCAGCCAGGUCACGAUCUCGCGGUCCGUGAGUUCGAGCCCCGCGUCGGGCUCUGGGCUGAUGGCUCGGAGCCUGGAGCCUGUUUCCGAUUCUGUGUCUCCCUCUCUCUCUGCCCCUCCCCCGUUCAUGCUCUGUCUCUCUCUGUCCCAAAAAUAAAUAAACGUUGAAAAAAAAAAAAAUUUAAAAAAAAAAUAAAUAAAUAAAUAAAUCACCUUGUGUUUUGGAGUGUCCCCUCUGACCCGCCCCCACCCGGGUCUGGGUGAGAAUUGAAAAAAAAAUUUUUUUAAGAUUUUCAUUUUUAUUUUUUUUUAUUUUUUUUUAAUGUUUAUUUUUGAGAGAGAGACACAGACAUAGUGUGAGCAGGGAAGGGGCAGAGAGAGAGAGAGAGAGAGAGAGGGAGACUCGGAAUCUGAAGCGGACUCCAGGCUCUGAGCUGUCAGCACAGAGCCCAAGGCAGGGCUCACAAACCGUGAGAUCAUGACCUGAGCCAAAGUCAGACACUUAACCGACUGAGCCACCCAGGCGCCCCCUAAAGAUUUUUAUUUUUAAGUAAUUUCUACACCUAGUGUGGCUUGAACUUACAACUCUGAGAUCAAGAGUCAUGGGCUCUACUGACUGAGCCAGCCAGGUGCCCCUGGGUGAGAAUGUUCUCAACAUUACUGGAAUACUCCAGAGGACUUAUGGAUUUCUUAAAAGUUAGGGCAGAGGUUCCCAGCCUUUCUCGGUUUGCAGCCCUUAGUAUCAGUAAUUUUUCAUGACACCCCAGGCCAAAACAAAUACCUAAAAGUUCCAUUUAUUAAAGUAAUUAGGUCAAAUAAUAGUGUUUUUCCUAACAACUUAGUAGUUAUUUGAAUAACAAUACACAUAAGUUGAAAGGAAAUUUCCUUCUGUUCUUAAUCAUAACUACUAACGGGAUGUAUGCCUCGUUGGGCACUGCACAACUUCUCAAAAUUUUGAAAUCAGAUCAGACAUCCUCAGCUUCAUAUCCUGCUUCCUAUCCCCCCCUCAAAGUACUUGUAUCCCCGCAAGCUCCAAAAGCCUAGCUUCGUAAAGAUACAUGGAAAGAAUGGAGCGCAAGCUAAUGUCGAAACUGAACUAUCUUGAGGGAGUAAUUUACGCGGUGUCCCACAGAUAACCAUCAUCCCUGCUCCCCUCAAAAGUAAAACAUCUCGGGGGCGCCUGGGUGGCCCAGUCGGUGAAGUGUCCGACUCUUGGUUUCGGCUCAGAUCAUGAGCUCACGGUUUCGUGAGUUCAAGCCCCAUCUGGCUCUGCGCUGGCAGCGUGGAGCCUGCUUCGGAGGAUUCUCUGCCCCUCUCCCCCUCGUGCUCUCUCUGUCUCUCUCAAAAUAAAUAAACUAGAAAGAAAAGAAAGAAAGAAAGAAAGAAAGAAGAAAGAAAGAAAAAGAAAGAAAGAAAGAGAAAAAGAAAGACAAAGAAAAAGAAAGAAAGAAAGAAAAAGAAAAAGAAAGAAAGAAAAACAUCCUGCAGCACCCUGCCAAGUCCUCUGGGGUGCCCCAAACUGCUUCAGCUCCGUUUGGGAGCCCGAGAGUUAAAGACCUUUGCUAGUACGAGUCCUGAUGGUGAAUUCAUUCCAACUCAGGUUCAGAGCUGGAAACGCUGACAAAGAGUCAAAAUUUCUGCAAGUUGAUUAACCAGACCAGAUACUCUGUAACCAAAAGAGAGAAAUUUUCCACUGAUAGGCAAAAGUCCAAAAGCCCCACAUCGUCAGGGCUCCUGCCAAGUCAGCAUGUCUCCAAGCCAGACUGCCAGGUCCUGAGUGAUUUCUUCCAGGCUGGUUUUGUUGCCACCGGCGCCCCCUGGUGGUACCUGUUAAGACUAACAGGAGAACCAGCGGCAACCGGACAGGAGAGGACAAGUGUCUGUUAGGACUUCUAAGUGUUUAAUAAGUUGCUCUUAUAUGAGCUGGAGGGAGGAAGGGGGCAGCUAACAUUUCCUGAGCACCCGCUGGUUGCGAGGCCUAGCGCUGGGUUAUCAUCCCUCCAAAUCCUCACUCUACGCGGGAGCAGAUGCCACUGUCAUCACCAUUUGCACAUGGAAACACAGCUUAAGGGACACACUCUACCUUUGGAAAUGGCCAAGCCAGAGUCUCAGUCUAGGAUGAUUGUGUCCUAGGCCUGUUUCUUCCCUCCUUGCUGUGCUCAUCCCUACACAAAGGAGUGGGUGGUCCCUAUGGGAGGGACCUUGGCCAAACCCCUCCCGUUAGAAGCCUCCUUUUGCCCAGAUCCCGGGGAAACAGCUGCAAACAGAAUAAACAGGCACUGCUCCGUCUACAUGGGCACUUUAGCCUUCAGGGGAAAGACAAAUAAUUACGAGCUGAGAAAAGUGCUGAGGAUCCAGAGGCACUGACAGAGCCAGGAUCCUUGGCUGCCAUCGGCUCUGGCUACAGAUAAGAUGGAAACCCAGCCUCUGAAGAGUAGACGUGGAUGUUGAUAAACAGAAGGUCUCAUGUCCUCGAAAUGGCCCAGACAUUUGGGCUGGGGCAAAAAAAAAGUUCUGUGUUUGGCAGAUUUGAGGGUGGGAGCGUGCCAGGAGCCUGGAUAAGGGCUGUAGUCUUUGUGAUUCCGUGUAUUUCCACACACAUCAGCAGUGCAGAAUUUUAACCAAGCACUGGAUGUUGAACCUGACCCCCCAGGGUAUACAGUUUAGUCUCUGUGGCUCCAGUAGGCCCACCAGGGCCCUGCCUGGCCUCAGAAUCAUCACUGGGAACAUCAGCAGUCUCUGUGCAGGGGCACUGGGGAACCAGCCCUUGUCCCUCACCCUGACUCACAGCUACCUCUGCGCCCUGCCAGGUGCGCAUCGAAGUGUUUCGGGCAGAGGAGUUGAUGGCAUGUGCAGGAUUGACCUCACCCAGAAUCGUCCCUCUGUAUGGAGCUGUGAAGGAAGGUCCUUGGGUCAACAUCUUCAUGGAACUCUUAGAAGGUAAGGAGCCAGGUUCAGAGCCAAGGGUUGACCUUGGUCCCCAGUUAUUCCAUUUUUAAUCUCUUGACCCUGCGACAUCAGCCGGAAAGGCCUACUUUCCACCACCUGCCCUUUGAAGGCCUUUGCCCGUGGCCUGCUUGCAGGCCUGGAAAUGCACCAUGUAAAGACUGGCCGUUGGUCUCCUAGGUGGCUCGCUGGGCCAGCUCAUAAAGCAGAAGGGCUGUCUGCCGGAGGACCGGGCCCUUUACUACCUAGGCCAGGCUCUGGAAGGGCUGGAGUACCUUCACACCCGAAGGAUUCUGCACGGAGAUAUCAAAGGUGAGGCUUGUGCCCCCACCGCCCUGGUCCCCAGCGGCCUCCUCCUUCCUUACCUCAACCUGCCUGACCUCCUCCCAGAUCUUCUGGGCCUGCCUGACCGUCCCCAGUGGCAGGUCCCACGUCAGGCUGGCAGGGCUGUGCUGGCAGGAGGGGGAAGUGUGUUCCCCAGGCCCUUAGCCCGGCACCCUAGUUGCCAGUGGGCAGUGCCUGCAGAGAACUGCAGAUGGAGUUCCUAAGCACUGGUGACCACUGGGGGAGGGUGGGGGCAGCAGAGCUGAGUGGCAGUGUCCCAAGAGUAAACUGUCCCCAGACCUCAGAGAUCCGCCUGCUGCCUGCCUCUAGCCCGAACUGAUAAACCUCCUCCCUUCCUUAUGACUAAUAAAACUAAUCAGAAGCAGGCAGCUGUCAUGUAGGGUCAGCCAGAAACUGCCUCCCUGGAGGUCCAGAUGGGGCUGGGGCCUGGAGUGACUCACCUGUUCCUCUUCUUCUCUGGGGUGGCCUGGCAGCUGACAAUGUGCUCCUGUCCAGCGAUGGGAGCCGUGCAGCCCUCUGUGACUUCGGCCAUGCUGUGUGCCUUCAACCCGAUGGCCUGGGGAAGUCCUUGCUCACGGGUAAGCCCUGCCUCCUGCCUCCCUCCCCCACGAUGACAGUCACCACUAGCCUUCACGAAGCAUUAGCCUUCUCCUGUGCUUUCUGUAAUAGCAGUCAGAGGUGUGAACCCUUUUUGUCCACAGUAUUUCAGCCCAUCAACAACCCUAGGUUAGCAGAAAGCUUUUGUUACGCUUAAAUGCAAGAAUGAGUAUCAGGUCCUCGUUUCUGAUAUUCCUGCUACACAGAGAAGGGAACGGAAAGGCUGGCCGCCUCUCAUCCAGCCUUUUCUGGGUGGCUCGGCUCCCAGCCUGUGGCCUCAGCCAUCCUGGGCCUCUGAGCAGUUUCUGGAAGCACAACACGAGGGCUGACCAAGAGGCCUGGGCUCUGUAGCUGGAGAAGCAUCUGUUUUUAACUUAAAUCUUCUGAUUAGUAAAGUAAUCCACAUCCAUUGUGACAUAUUUAGCAACUACAGAGUGAAGUGGUGUAGAAGAGGAGGGAAAAAGGAGCUACCCUGUUCCUCUUGCCCAGAGACAUAAUCACAAACAUUGUAGAUCACUCCUUCCAUCUCCUUUUUUUCUUCCUGUACCUCGUUAAGGCCAUUAUAACACAAUUCUGCUCUUUUUUCAUUUAUAGCGUUCUGCAUAAGGUUAUUUCCUCUUGACCAAAGGAAAAUCAACCUCUUAUUUAUUUAUUGAGAGAGAGAGAGAGAGAGAGCAGGGAAAGGGCAGAGGGAGAGAAUCCCAAGCAGGCUCCACAGUGUCAGCACAGAGCCCCAUGUGGGGCUCAAACCCACGAACUGCAAGAUCAUGACCUGAGCCGAAACCAUGAGUCAGACGCCCAACCGAGCCACCCCGGCACCCUAGGCAAAAACCUUUUAGAAGUGAUUCUCUGACAGGGCACCUGGGUGGCUCUCAGUUAAGUGCCAGACUUCGGCUCCGGUCAUGAUCUCAUGGUUUGUGGGUGCCAGCCCCGUGUCAGGCUGUGUGCUGACAGCUCAGCGCCUGGGGCCUGCUUCAGAUUCUGUGUCUCCCUCUCUCUCUCUGCCCCUCCUCUGCUCACCCUCUCUCUCUCAAAAAUAAAAAGCAUUAAAAAUUUUUUUAAGUGAUUCUCUAUCAUUAGAGGACUAUCUUGGUCAUUCUGAAGAUGUAUAUUGAAAACAGACACCUGCCUGUAUUAUGAAAAUAAUUUCUUUUCUAAAAUCUUUUGCAGAAAGUAGAACUAAGCUAAAAUAAAAAAUACAGAUCACCAGAGUGGGGGAAACAACUUCCUAUCUGGUAUCGAUCCUUCUAGUCUGCCUAGAAGUUUGUUUGGUUGUUUUUUUGUUUUUGUUUUUUUCACUUGCUAACAUUGCAGGAACAUCAUAACCAUUAAUUAGUCUCCUGCCACAUAAUUUCGAACGCCCAGGCCCCUCCCCAGUGUUAAAAAGCACUCUAAGAGUUUGGGCCAAUGGGUAGAGCCCAUAUUUUGGGUGAUGCCUUCUUUGUGCCAGUCUCCAGGGGAGCCCCUGACUUAGCUCAUCCCCGGCAGAUUUGAGCUGGAGGCUUUCUCUCUACUCGAGGCCCAUUAACAGAGACAAAUUCAAGGUAUCCCGGGAAUUGACUGGUGUGGUCACUGCCAAGGCUCUUGCCCCCCAGAGUUCACGGUUGGCUUUUCCGCCUCACCUCACCCCCCUCAGGGGACUACAUCCCUGGCACAGAGACCCACAUGGCUCCAGAGGUGGUGAUGGGCAAGCCCUGUGACGCCAAGGUGGACGUGUGGAGCAGCUGCUGUAUGAUGCUUCACAUGCUCAACGGCUGCCACCCUUGGACCCAGUACUUCAGAGGGCCACUGUGCCUCAAGGUCAGUGACAGCAUGCGGGAGGGCCAGGAGGCCCACGGGCCCGGGGCUGCAGACUUGGGGCGGUCCCCAUUUUGGCUGCUCUUCCGUGGCCGAUGGGAACAGGAAGAGGCCUCAUCGUAAACGUGGGAGCCUCACUAAAACACUUGCCACCCAGAUCGGUGGGCCCAAGGGGACAUCCCAGGUGAAGGAUCUCCUUAGGUUCAUGGCAGGUCAGCGCUGUCUUCCACUCGUACGCUGGG